UCUCGCAGAUGCCACAUCACACCACACGCUUCUCCUGCUCUCUCCCUCUCAUUCCCUCUCACUCUCUCCCUCUCUCUCCCUCUCUUUCUCAUCCCGUUCGCCCAGCCGGCUCGUCACCGGCUGUCAGUUCUUUUGCCGCGGCAGAGCAACAACUGGCUUCUUUCGCCGCUCGGAGCGGAGAGGGGAAGGCUAAAGCAGCAGGAGGAGUGAAAAAAAAAAAAAAAAAAAGAAAAAGUGGAGGAGGACCGAGGAGGAGAGAGGAAAAAAAAAGAAAGGAGGAGGAGAUCUUUUGUUAAGCAUCCUUCCCUCCCCUCGUCCCUCUCCGGCAGCCGCCGCAGCAUCAGCACCGCUGCCUCCUCCACCGCCGCUGCCGCUCCCGCUGCUGGAUCCUCCAUCUCCUGCCAGGGACCUGCCUCCUCCUUCUCCUCGGGGAGCUCUUCCUGGAACUGGGAGGGGGAGGGAGAGCACCACCUCCCAGCUUGCCGCGGACCGUCGGCAAGGCACCAGGAGAAGGAAAAAGGAAGGAAGGAAGGAAGGAAGGAAGGGGAGGGAAUUUUAGAAGAGGUGCGUAGGGAGAGCAGAGGAGAGGCAACACCCUGGGUUACGGGAGAGCAGAGCGGAGGAGAGGAAAAGCGGGGCCGAGCGGGAGCGCCGGCAUGGAACUGCCUGUCACCGGUGGAUGAGGACUUCCAGGAGACAUGGUGGCGGUGCUGCCAGGCCCUGGCAGAGAGGAGCCAUUGAUGGAGCCUUGCCUCGCGCUGCUGCAGCAAGGCCUCUCGGAUCAAUGCGACUGGCCCACUCUCUCUCUCUCUGUGCAUGUGUCUGUUUGCCAGUGGAGGCUGAUGGGAGGCCGCUCGUGAUGGCGGCGGUGGUGGUGGCGGUGAUGAUGAUGAUGAUGAUGCGAUGGCAGUGGCGCUGCUCACGCGGUUUCUGGCUUAGCCCCCACCCCACCCCCCCUCCAUGCUUCCUGAAAGACUCUCUUCGGUGACGGGUAUUCUUGGGUGGAUAAUACGGAUCACGUUGUUAUUGCUUAAGAAUACGCGUAGUCGAGGAGAGUCCUCUCUUCGCCCGCCCCCGACUCCCCGACACUCCACCCACCCACCUCACCUCACCCCGAACCACCCACCCACCCACCCACCCCGGGAGGACUGUCAGGUUGGACGAAGCCACACCUCCACUUUCCACCCUUCCAAAAAAGAGAAACUCGCCUUAUCUUCAUUUUUCUCAAUCUGUACUGAAUUGCGAUGUGUUGUUUUUUGUUUUUUUUUUGUUCUUUCGUUGUCUGCCCACUUCCUGACUGUUGGGGCCAAGGUUUGAGGUGAAACGUCGUGGCGUCUGUCCCACCUGGCGUCUGUCAGUCCGUCUCUCUGUCUCCAUGGCGUUGGACGGCAUAGUGUGUGUGUGUCUUUGUUUCGUUUCUGUGUGUGUGUGUCUGUGUUGGACAUGUUGCUUUCGAGAUUGUCUUGGUCUCACUGAGCAAAAACUGGCUCACCGUCUCGUCCGACAGCCACUUCUGAUUGCGCAACCCCAUGUGCAUGAACAGCGUCUGCUCUCGGCCUCCACGCGAACACUCACAUGGAUAUUUACAUGAAGAGGGCUCAGGGCUCGGACGUGUAUUAGGGUCAACACUGGCUUAAACCCAUUCAUAAGCCGUGGUCCUGAAUAUGUGCUGGGAGUUGUAUUCUCAGAAAACCAACAACAGUUGCGGACCGAUCAACACCCCACUAGCAGGAGGACUUGAAGCCACGUGGCUGCGGUUUAAUUACAUCCUCUGAAAUGACUAAUAGGACCGAAUGAACCUUCCAUUGGGGGCCCCAGGCUGAUGAUGAGAAAGUGGGGGCCCCAAGUUAAAACAUCCCUCCAGCCUCUGUAAGAUGUGCAAUGCCAACUGGCCCCAGCUUUCAUAACACGAAGCAUGUAAAUGUAAAAGAAAAAAAUAAAUACUGGCCUCAGUAUAAGAUCAGGAAGCAGAGCGCCGCCCGCCUUCGGGGAUUUAAUGUAGAAAACAAACAAACGGACAAAUAGAAAGUGACAAACAGUUAAUAAACCUAGAGUUUUGGGAUGUGGGAAGAUGUGGACAGUUUUGUUUUUUGCACCAGGGCUGUCGAAAUGCGGAUGUGGACGACUUUUGGAUUAUAUGCUGUAAAGAAGAGAGAAGAUCAUUUAGACUCUUGUAUGAAUCAGUUCAUUUUUUACUCUACAGUGUAAAAAAAAAUACAGUGUUUAAAAUUUCAAUUUCCAGUCUAAACCCCCCAAACUACUGUAAACUGGGGAUUUACAAUAAAUCCUUUUUAGUAUCCAAUAAUCGGAUUAUUUCCAAUUAUUCCCUCCAUUAGUAAAGUAGUCGAUUACUUUGUGAAGAUGACGAGUUCCACAGUUGCCUUUUACACGUCUUGUUUGCACAUUUGAGUUUAGUUUACGAUCAUAUCAAAGAGAGAGCAGCCACAGAAAUCUUGACAACCAAUGUGAACGUUAGUGACUAUUGCUGCAGAUUAAUAUUCUCAAAUUGGCCGUGGCUGUCAUCGAAGAGAGGUUCUCGAAAAAAAACAGGAACCGUUUGACCCUCGGGGUCCAACUUGGGGCCUGUGCACAGAAAUCGGGGGCCAACGUUUAAAAACAUCAGGGAAGAAAAUUCCAGUUUUUCGAUUUUUGCUCCGUUUUAUGACAAAAAAAAAGAAGAAGAAAUAUGAGCUGCGUUCGAAAACGUAUAUUAGUUUUCCCUUUUGGCAGAAGGAGCAGAGCCCGUAACACUCGGUGAGGUAUCAGCAGACGGUAUUGUGCUGUAUCUCCUCCUGGCCCCGAGGGCUAUAGAGUGGAACCUCCGCUUGUUCAAGUCUAUGCGGCGGCUUUUUUAUUACGGGGCUGAGCCUCCUCUUAUGCGUCUGCCCCCCCCCCCCCCCCUCCUCCUCCUCCUCCCGACUCACCCUUUUUUUAUGCAAAUGGCUGCUCAAAUGACACCUAUCGCAGUGAGCUUUACGCCACAUGUCAUACUGCUUCUGCCGCCGAGCCUCACACACACACACACACACACACACACACACACACACACACA